rnacentral:tRNA from 1 species
GGAUAUGGCUCAGUGGUAGAGUGCAUGCUCAGCAUGCACAAGGUGCUGGGUUCAAUCCCCAGUACCUCCU